rnacentral:rRNA from 1 species
CACGUAGGGUGCGAGCGUUGUCCGGAAUUAUUGGGCGUAAAGAGCUCGUAGGCGGUUUGUCGCGUCGGCCGUGAAAUCUCCACGCUUAACGUGGAGCGUGCGGUCGAUACGGGCAGACUUGAGUUCGGUAGGGGAGACUGGAAUUCCUGGUGUAGCGGUGGAAUGCGCAGAUAUCAGGAGGAACACCGAUGGCGAAGGCAGGUCUCUGGGCCGCAACUGACGCUGAGGAGCAAAAGCAUGGGGAGCGAACAGG